rnacentral:rRNA from 1 species
UACGGGGGGGGCAAGCGUUGUUCGGAAUUACUGGGCGUAAAGGGCUCGUAGGCGGCCAACUAAGUCAGACGUGAAAUCCCUCGGCUUAACCGGGGAACUGCGUCUGAUACUGGUUGGCUUGAGUGUGGGAGAGGGAUGCGGAAUUCCAGGUGUAGCGGUGAAAUGCGCAGAUAUCAGGAAGAACACCCGUGGCUAAGGCGGCUCUCUAGUACGGUACUGACGCUGAGACGCGAAAGCGUGGGGAGCGAACAGG